AAGUCGUAACAAGGUUUCCGUAGGUGAACCUGCGGAAGGAUCAUUAACACAAGUAAAAAACCAUUUUUACAACACCCUAUUAUGAAUUUAAAUUUUUUAAUUUUAAUUUUAAUUUUUUUUUAUAAAACUACAAAAAAAAUAUUUAAUUUAUUUGACUAACAUUUUUUUAAUUAAUUUAUUUAAAAUUUUAUAAAACAACUCUUAACAACGGAUAUCUUGGCUCUC
rnacentral:misc_RNA from 1 species